rnacentral:rRNA from 1 species
UACGUAGGGGGCGAGCGUUGUCCGGAUUUAUUGGGCGUAAAGAGCGUGUAGGCGGCUAGGAAGGUCCGCUGUGAAAACUCGGGGCUCAACCCCCGAGAGGUCGGUGGAAACCAUCUGGCUAGAGUCCGGAAGAGGAGAGUGGAAUUCCUGGUGUAGCGGUGAAAUGCGCAGAUAGUCAGGAGGAACACCGGUGGCGAAAGGCG